rnacentral:lncRNA from 1 species
UCAGGCCUAGGGGAAUAGAUUUAGGUUGAAUUGCCAGUGGAGGAAGAGCACCAUGAAUGUGCCUCCAUCCUUAAGCUCCGAUGGAAGGAGAAGCAAGCUAUAAAGGCAGAAAAAUGAUGGAAAUAUCGUCAGGAGGUGUGUGGAUCUCGGGCUCUAGGAGGAAGAUCGUCGAUCAUGGUGAGAGGGAGUGACCUAUGGAUUUGGCUCCAUCUAAUGCCAUUGCUGCUCUGUUACUUGUUGGAACCGCUACAUAGAAUCGAUCAGCAUCUAGAUCUAGUGAGCUAGGGUGUCGAGUGGCGAUAGAUCUAUUGCAGCCAGAGGUUGCACUACAACAGAUGCAUAAGCAGUACUGCUUUGAUUACGAUGGAUGGAUUGCUAGUGGGAGG